CUUCGGCCACGUGGUGAUUUGUGCCGACCGGCUUGCGGCCACGUAAAACAACACGCUAAAAGGUCGGGGCAUGCGCUCC
rnacentral:ncRNA from 2 species